GUUGCCUACCUUUCACUUCAUCAUAUGUGUAUAGGCUUCUCCUGAAUGUAAGCACAUACUUUGCAACCCCAGAAUUGGACGAAUACGGUGUAUGAGUCACACAACGAUUGAAGCCUACCACGGUGGAAGGCCACGAAAAGAGUGUUCAAAGCACUCUCACGCUUAUCAACUUAAUAAUGAUUUGGUUGAGGGUUUUAGGUCUCAUCACAUAUAAAUAUUCAUUUUAAUCUCUAUUAAAACAAUUUUGGUCCUCUUACAACUAUUGGUCCAUUUGAUUGUUUUAGUUGUAUAUAAUACUCCCACUAUGCUUAUAAAACGAUUUUUAAAGCAAGAGUAUAUGAUACUACUAACAUAAACUUUGCAUUCAUUUGAUGGACUAUAUAGUUGCCAUAGGGCCUUAGGAUGAUUAUGAACCUUUGUUUAGAUUCAACACGAGCCUUGUGUUGAAUCUCGGUCUAGGAAUGAAGAUUGAUUUUAGUUACGCGUUUAAACACAUUAAGGCGUGUUGUCUUAGGGGCGUUGGACCCAACUACUUCAUUUUCAUGCAUAUCAAAUAAAGCAAGA
rnacentral:lncRNA from 1 species